rnacentral:rRNA from 1 species
AGAGUUUGAUCCUGGCUCAGAACGAACGCUGGCGGCGUGGAUUAGGCAUGCAAGUCGAACGCGAAAGAGGGGGCAACUCCUCGAGUAGAGUGGCGAACGGGUGAGUAACGCGUGAAGAACCUGCCUUCAACAGGGGGAAAACACUCCCAACGGGGGUGCUAAAACCCGCAUGAGACCACGGGGGCGUCAUGGGCCAAGGGGUCCAAGGUGGGCUCUUACUUGGAAGCUACCGGUUGAAAAAGGCUUCCCCGUCCCAUUAACUAGUUUGCGGGGGAACGGACCCCCCAAGGCAACAAUGGUAACUUGUCUCAAAAGAAUGGCCACCCCCCUGGGGAUGAAAAACCGGCCCCAAUCCUACCGGAGGGAACCAUCCAAAGGGUUUUGGAAUGGGGGAAAACUGACCAACGCGCGCGUGGAGAUGAAGGCCCUGGGUUGAAAAUCCCUUUUUCGGGAAAAAAGUCAUCAGUGAACAAUCUGGCCUUUGACGGUGCCCCGCGAAAAAACUCCCGGUAAAUCCUGGCCGCAGCGCGGUAACACGGGGGGAGCAAGCGUUGGUUUCUAAUUACUGGCGUAAGGGCGUGUAAGCGGUCACGUAAUGAGAAGUGAAAUGCUCCGCUUACCCGGAGACCUGCAUCUCUACUGCUGGCUUGUUACGGGAGAUGUGGGAAUCCUGUGUACGCGAAUGCUAAAAUCAAAAGGAACACCGGUGGUAAGGCCCAUCUGGCCGAUCUGAUCUGAGCGAAAGCUAAGGGACUACGGGCAUGACUCCCCCGUAUUCUAGCCGUAACGCGUGAUCACUAGUAGUGGAAGUAUCGACCCCCUCAGCACGCAGCUAAUGCUAUAAGCUGCUCCUCGGGGGGAGUACGGCCACAAGCUUAAACUCAAAGGAAUUGACGGGGGCCCGCACAAGCGGUGGAGCAUGUGAUAUAUUUCGCCGCAACGGGAAGAACCUUACCCAGACUAGACAUCUAUCGGACGGUUUGUGAAAACACACUUUCCUUUCGGGGCGGAUGCACGGUGUUCCAUGUUUUUUCCCCAGCUAGUGUCGUGAGAUUCGGGUUAAUUCCUCAACAAGGGCAACUUUUUUCUUUAGUUUUUACGGGUUCAAGAGGACUUUUUAGGGAGACCCCCCGGUGAAAAACCGGGAGGAAGGUGGGGGAUAACGUCAGUUCCCCCAUGCCCUUUAGGUGGGGGGCCACCCCACGGCCUCCAAGGCCGGUACAAACAGGGUUCGGAUCCGGGGGGGGGGAAGCCAUUUUUCAAAAACCCGGUUUCAGUUGGGAUCCAAGUUUGCAACUGGAUGCCAUGGAAGUCGGAUUCGUUAGUAAUCGUUGAUCAGCAGGCAGCGGUGAAUACGUUCCCGGGCCUUGUACACACCCCCCGUCAAGCCACGAAAGUCGGUAGGACCCGAAGUCGCUGUGCCAACCGUAAGGAGGCAGGCGCCCAAGGUCAGGCCGGUGAUUGGGGCUAAGUCGUAACAAGGUAACC